rnacentral:rRNA from 1 species
UCUCCUGAAACGGGUGGUAAUGCCGGAUGUUCCACAUGAGCGCAUGCGAGUGUGGGAAAGGCUUUUGCGGCAUGGGAUGGGGUCGCGUCCUAUCAGCUUGUUGGUGGGGUAACGGCCUACCAAGGCGUUGACGGGUAGCCGGCUGAGAGGGCGACCGGCCACAUUGGGACUGAGAUACGGCCCAGACUCCUACGGGAGGCAGCAGUGGGGAAUAUUGCACAAUGGGCGCAAGCCUGAUGCAGCGACGCCGCGUGCGGGAUGGAGGCCUUCGGGUUGUAAACCGCUUUUGUUCAAGGGCAAGGCACGGUUUCGGCCGUGUUGAGUGGAUUGUUCGAAUAAGCACCGGCUAACUACGUGCCAGCAGCCGCGGUAAUACGUAGGGUGCAAGCGUUAUCCGGAUUUAUUGGGCGUAAAGGGCUCGUAGGCGGUUCGUCGCGUCCGGUGUGAAAGUCCAUCGCUUAACGGUGGAUCCGCGUCGGGUACGGGCGGGCUGGAGUGCGGUAGGGGAGACUGGAAUUCCCGGUGUAACGGUGGAAUGUGUAGAUAUCGGGAAGAACACCA